rnacentral:sRNA from 1 species
UCUCGUUUAAACGAUGCAUUCCCUACCUCUAAUGCAUCUUUGUAACUCUUUAGUUACGCCAAAGGAUUAAAUUCACCGAAAUAAA